GACGUAGGGGGCCAGCGUUGUUCGGAAUUACUGGGUGUAAAGGGUUCGUAGGCGGUGCGGCAAGUCGGGUGUGAAAUCUCGGAGCUUAACUCCGAAACUGCAUUCGAUACUGCCGUGCUUGAGGACUGGAGAGGAGACUGGAAUUUACGGUGUAGCGGUGAAAUGCGUAGAUAUCGUAAGGAAGACCAGUGGCGAAGGCGGGUCUCUGGACAGUUCCUGACGCUGAGGCACGAAGGUCAGGGGAGCAAACGGG
rnacentral:rRNA from 1 species